rnacentral:rRNA from 1 species
UAACACGUAGGUAACCUGCCCAUGUGCCCGGGAUAACUUCUGGAAACGGAUGCUAAAACCGGAUAGGUAGCAGACAAGCAUUGACUGCUAUUAAAGUGGCCUUGGCCAUGAACAUGGAUGGACCUGCGGUGCAUUAGCUAGUUGGUGAGGUAACGGCCUACCAAGGCGACGAUGCAUAGCCGGCCUGAGAGGGCGGACGGCCACAUUGGGACUGAGACACGGCCCAAACUCCUACGGGAGGCAGCAGUAGGGAAUUUUCGUCAAUGGGGGGAACCCUGAACGAGCAAUGCCGCGUGAGUGAGGAAGGUCUUCGGAUCGUAAAGCUCUGUUGUAAGAGAAAAACGGCACUCAUAGGGAAUGAUGAGUGAGUGAUGGUAUCUUACCAGAAAGUCACGGCUAACUACGUGCCAGCAGCCGCGGUAAUACGUAGGUGGCGAACGUUAUCCGGAAUGAUUGGGCGUAAAGGGUGCGUAGGUGGCAGAUCAAGUCUGGAGUAAAAGGUAUGGGCUCAACCCGUACUGGCUCUGGAAACUGAUCAGCUAGAGAACAGAAGAGGACGGCGGAACUCCAUGUGUAGCGGUAAAAUGCGUAGAUAUAUGGAAGAACACCGGUGGCGAAGGCGGCCGUCUGGUCUGGAUUCUGACACUGAAGCACGAAAGCGUGGGGGAGCAAAUAGGAUUAGAUACCCUAGUAGUCCACGCCGUAAACGAUGAGAACUAGGUGU